rnacentral:misc_RNA from 1 species
AGAGACCAAAUCCACAAAAGUGACACUUGUAACAUCAGAAACUGAGAAUUAUAUUCCCAUUCUCUCUGGUCUUUAUUUAUUAUCAUAAAUAAAUUAUAGUAUAUAUAAGUUUUGUUCUACUUCUGCAACUUUCUAAACAAAUUUGCAAUAUUGUGCAAGUCAGGCAAUCCAAGAUGGAUUUACACAAGGAAGGUGAUACAGGCUCCGCAAAGCAGAAGAAGGUCAAGAUUGUUUUUGUUAUAGGUGGUCCGGGGAGUGGUAAAGGAACACAAUGCAAAAGAAUAGCACAACAAUUUGGAUACACUCAUCUUAGCGUUGGCGAGAUUCUACGUCAAGAAACCAGUUCUGGUUCUGAAACUGGCCAUAUGGUUCAGAAAAUUAUGAAGGAGGGAAAGCUUGUUCCGUCGGAUGUAACAGUGAGGCUUCUUCAACAAGCCAUGCAGGGAAUUGAUAAUGACAAAUUCCUCAUCGACGGCUUCCCCCGGGAUGAAGAGAAUGUUAAAGCAUUUGAGGAUCUUACAAAAAUGGAGCCUGAGUUUGUCCUUUAUUUAGAUUGUCCACAAGACGAAAUGGAGAAGCGCUUGCUAUCAAGAAAUGAGGGAAGAG